ACGCUGAUGCACGAAAGCGUGGGUAGCGAACAGGAUUAGAUAACCUGGUAGUCCACGCCGUAAACGAUGAUCACUCGUUGUUGGCGACAUAAAGUCAGUGACUGAGCGAAAGCAUUAAGUGAUCCACCUGGGGAGUACGUUGGCAACGAUGAAACUCAAAGGAAUUGACGGGGGCCCGCACAAGCGGAGGAACAUGUGGUUUAAUUCGAUGAUACGCGAGGAACCUUACCCGGGCUUAGAUGUAUGGUGCAUGAAUUGGAGACGAUUCUUUCCUUCGGGACUCUAUACAAGGUGCUGCAUGGUUGUCGUCAGCUCGUGCCGUGAGGUGUCGGGUUAAGUCCCAUAACGAGCGCAACCCAUAUCGUUAGUUACUAGCAGGUAAAGCUGAGGACUCUAGCGAGACUGCCGGUGUAAACCGCGAGGAAGGUGGGGAUGACGUCAAAUCAGCACGGCCCUUACGUCCGGGGCUACACACGUGUUACAAUGGAUGGUACAAAGGGCAGCUACCUGGUGACAGGAUGCUAAUCUCUAAAGCCAUUCUUAGUUCGGAUUGGAGUCUGCAACUCGACUCCAUGAAGUUGGAUUCGCUAGUAAUCGCGCAUCAGCCAUGGCGCGGUGAAUACGUUCCCGGGCCUUGUACACACCGCCC
rnacentral:rRNA from 1 species